rnacentral:rRNA from 1 species
UACGAAGGGGGCUAGCGUUGCUCGGAAUCACUGGGCGUAAAGGGUGCGUAGGCGGGUCUUUAAGUCAGGGGUAAAAUCCUGGAGCUCAACUCCAGAACUGCCUUUGAUACUGAAGAUCUUGAGUUCGGGAGAGGUGAGUGGAACUGCGAGUGUAGAGGUGAAAUUCGUAGAUAUUCGCAAGAACACCAGUGGCGAAGGCGGCUCACUGGCCCGAUACUGACGCUGAUGCACGAAAGCGUGGGGAGCAAACAGG